UACGGGGGGGGCAAGCGUUGUUCGGAAUUACUGGGCGUAAAGGGUUCGUAGGUGGCCUACUAAGUCAGACGUGAAAUCCCUCAGCUUAACUGGGGAACUGCGUCUGAUACUGGAAGGCUUGAGGACAGGAGAGGAACGCGGAAUUCCAGGUGUAGCGGUGAAAUGCGUAGAUAUCUGGAGGAACACCGGUGGCGAAGGCGGCGUUCUGGACUGUUUCUGACACUGAGGAACGAAAGCCAGGGGAGCAAACGGG
rnacentral:rRNA from 1 species